rnacentral:rRNA from 1 species
GACGAACGCUGGCGGCGUGCUUAACACAUGCAAGUCGAACGGAAAGGCCCUGCUUGCAGGGUGCUCGAGUGGCGAACGGGUGAGUAACACGUGGGUGAUCUGCCCCUUACUUUGGGAUAAGCCUGGGAAACUGGGUCUAAUACUGGAUAGGACCAUGCUGUAGGUGGUGUGGUGGAAAGAUUAGUUUCGGUAAGGGAUGAGCUCGCGGCCUAUCAGCUUGUUGGUGGGGUAAUGGCCUACCAAGGCGUCGACGGGUAGCCGGCCUGAGAGGGUGGACGGCAACAUUGGGACUGAGAUACGGCCCAGACUCCUACGGGAGGCAGCAGUGGGGAAUAUUGCACAAUGGGCGCAAGCCGGAUGCAGCGACGCCGCGUGGGGGAUGACGGCCUUCGGGUUGUAAACUCCUUUCAGCCAUGACGAAGCCCUUGUGGUGACGGUAGUGGUAGAAGAAGCACCGGCUAACUACGUG